CGACGUGGAGCUCUGCCCAUUACACACACACACACACAUAUAUAUAGACAUAUUAUGAGAAAGACAGCCUCGCUGAGCUCACCUCAGAACGACGACAAACCGUUGUGCAGUGGCGCUACUUCUUCCGUCUUCACCUCACCACCUAGACGCAGAUGGUUGCGGCUGCUCAUUUUUUCCAGCCUCCUCUGCUCGUUCCGUGGCUUUACUCAGAUAAUAUAGGCUCAUUCAUCGAAGCUGCCGCUGCUUCUACCAUUCCCCUUUUUUGUUCCCCCUCCCCACCGCUGGAUCGCUCUGCUUUCCUUCGCUGUAUAUGCGUGAGGGUGAAUGUAUGCGACCCUGCUCGUUUUUUUUUCGUGUACUUUCAGCCUUGUAGUUGUCCAUCACGCGGUGAUCAUGAGGCGUCGCUCGCACUCCAAGCCCGCCGAGGCUGCGGCCGUCGUGCCUCCCACAAAGACCGUUGCCCAGCUGCGGACGGAAGUCGAUCUGCUUGAGAACGCUAUCAAAGAUCGAAAGCUCUUGUUCCUGGACCUAUGUGAGCAGAGGGGUGCGUCGGCGGCCGCGGACGAAGACGCUACUCGGGUGACGCCCCCCGAAGAUCCUGUGGAAGAGGCGCGCCGGCUCGCCAGCCGCAACGCGUUCCUGCGCGAUGAGCUCAAAGUUUUGGACGCAGUAGAGAGGCAGUACGCGAAUGACCCGCGCGUGCGUGACAAGCGCAACGAAGUGCGACUGGUGCAGAUGCAGAUCGCACAGGUAGAGCGCGAGGUCGAUACGCUGCAGAAGGUGAAGAAGUGGCGCGACGAGGGUCUGCGCGCGAUCGGGCGCACAGAGGAGCAGACUCGACGCAUGCGCGGGCAGCAGCACGAGAUGAACUCGCAGUUGAGGGAGGAGGUGCGGCAGCGAAUGGAGGAGCUGCGGGAACUAGAAAAGGCGGACAUGGAGGUGCAUACGCGGUUCGCGAGGCUGCAAGAUCAGGUGAAGCUGUCCGUGACAGAUGCCGAUGUGCAACAGCUUCGACAAACGCUGGAGGCGCAGAACACGGAGAUCGAAAAUCUUUCUGGCAAGGAGGCGGCGUGGCGGAAGCAACGCGCAUCGGUGCGCGAGGAGGACUACCGCAUUGUUGCGAAGUACAACGGCGAAUGCGCGAAGCUCGCCGAGGAAGAAGAGCGCCUCCAUGAGCUGCUGCGUCAAAAAGAAUUAGAGCUGAAGCGAAGCUAUUUUUUGUUGAAGCGCUAUGGAACCGCGCCCCGCGCGCCGAUGAGCGGCGGAGGUAAUGAUGAAGUGGGGGACUUGCUGCCCUCCCCCUAGGCUCGCCGAUGUGCGAAGGCGAGCACCGUCAACCGUUGUCUGGGUUGACUGCCCGGUGACACUAUGCAUUGUAACCCCACCCCCUCGACCCCCAAGCGCCUUGGCUCUGUGUAGGAGUGCUUUUUCCUCUCCCCUUGUUUCCGUCGUUUUCGCUUUCUUUGGUGGUGGGGCGACACACACGCUGCGGGUGUCUCCGCCGCUUUUUGUCUGAGUAUUUAUGUGCGUAGGUGUUACGCAUGUUAUGGUGCCCGCUCUCCGCUUGGAAUCCGUCUUGCUCACCAGAGCAUCUGGAACGCGCUGCGAAACGAAAAGAAGAAGGCGCGACCGCGUGGACCUGCUUAGUCAGCGGCUUCUUCUCCCCUUCAUUGUCUCGGGUUGUCCAGAGAGAGAG
rnacentral:misc_RNA from 1 species